rnacentral:rRNA from 1 species
GACGAACGCUGGCGGCGUGCUUAACACAUGCAAGUCGAACGGAAAGGCCCUGCUUUUGUGGGGUGCUCGAGUGGCGAACGGGUGAGUAACACGUGAGUAACCUGCCCUUGACUUUGGGAUAACUUCAGGAAACUGGGGCUAAUACCGGAUAGGAGCUCCUGCUGCAUGGUGGGGGGUGGAAAGUUUCGGCGGUUGGGGAUGGACUCGCGGCUUAUCAGCUUGUUGGUGGGGUAGUGGCUUACCACGGCUUUGACGGGUAGCCGGCCGGAGAGGGUGACCGGCCACAUUGGGACUGAGAUACGGCCCAGACUCCUACGGGAGGCAGCAGUGGGGAAUAUUGCACAAGGGGCGGAGGCCUGAGGCAGCAACGCCGCGGGCGGGAGGACGGCCUUCGGGUUGUAAACCGCUUUCGCCUGUGACGAAGCGUGAGUGACGGUAAUGGGUAAAGAAGCACCGGCUAACUACGUG